rnacentral:rRNA from 1 species
UGGAAGUAAAAUCGUAACAAGGUUUCCGUAGGUGAACCUGCGGAAGGAUCAUUACUGAGUUAGGGUUCCUUUUGGGCCCGAACCUCCCAACCCUUUGUUAACUUAUCUUUGUUGCUUUGGCAGGCCGUAGCAUUCGUGCUCCAUCGGCUUCGGCUUUUGUGUGCCUGCCAGAGGUCAUUUUUAAACUCUUGUUAUAACUUUAUUGUCUGAAUAUAAAAAAAAUAGCCUAAAACUUUUAACAACGGAUCUCUUGGUUCUGGCAUCGAUGAAGAACGCAGCGAAAUGCGAUAAGUAAUGUGAAUUGCAGAAUUCAGUGAAUCAUCGAAUCUUUGAACGCACAUUGCGCCCUUUGGUAUUCCGAAGGGCAUGCCUGUUCGAGCGUCAUUACACCUCUCAAGCUCUGCUUGGUAUUGGAGGCCUUCUCUUCGGAGGAGCCCCCGAAAAUUAGCGGCGAUGCGGCCAGACUUUAAGCGCAGUAAUCUAUUCAUCUCGCUUAUUAAAGUCCUUGGACGUUGUCUGCCGGACAACUCUUUCAUUGCUUUUCAAGCAGUGAAAACUUUUCUAUGGUUGACCUCGGAUCAGGUAGGGAUAC